GAUGAACGCUGGCGGCGUGCCUAAUACAUGCAAGUCGAGCGAACAGACGAGGAGCUUGCUCCUCUGACGUUAGCGGCGGACGGGUGAGUAACACGUGGAUAACCUACCUAUAAGACUGGGAUAACUUCGGGAAACCGGAGCUAAUACCGGAUAAUAUAUUGAACCGCAUGGUUCAAUAGUGAAAGACGGUUUUGCUGUCACUUAUAGAUGGAUCCGCGCCGCAUUAGCUAGUUGGUAAGGUAACGGCUUACCAAGGCAACGAUGCGUAGCCGACCUGAGAGGGGGAUGGGACACACGAGAAGAGAAACACGGCCCAGACCCACAGGGGGGGCAGCAGGGGGAAACUUUCCGAAAGGGGAAAAAGCAUAGAGGAAAAACGCCGGGGGAGAAAAAAGGGUCUGGGGAGUAAAAAACUUUUUAAUGAGGAAAAAAAAAAUGGGUAAGUAAAUUGCAAGGUUUGAAGGGACCAAAAACAGAAAGCCAGGCUUAACCAGUG
rnacentral:rRNA from 1 species